GAUGAACGCUGGCGGCGUGCCUAAUACAUGCAAGUCGAGCGAACGGACGAGAAGCUUGCUUCUCUGAUGUUAGCGGCGGACGGGUGAGUAACACGUGGAUAACCUACCUAUAAGACUGGGAUAACUUCGGGAAACCGUAGCUAAUACCGGAUAAUAUUUUGAACCGCAUGGUUCAAAAGUGAAAGACGGUCUUGCUGUCACUUAUAGAUGGAUCCGCGCUGCAUUAGCUAGUUGGUAAGGUAACGGCUUACCAAGGCAACGAUGCAUAGCCGACCUGAGAGGGUGAUCGGCCACACUGGAACUGAGACACGGUCCAGACUCCUACGGGAGGCAGCAGUAGGGAAUCUUCCGCAAUGGGCGAAAGCCUGACGGAGUAACGCCGCGUGAGUGAUGAAGGUCUUCGGAUCGUAAAACUCUGUUAUUAGGGAAGAACAUAUGUGUAAGUAACUGUGCACAUCUUGGCGGUACCUAAUCAGAAAGCCACGGCUAACUACGUG
rnacentral:rRNA from 1 species